UCAGGCCUAACACAUGCAAGUCGAACGGUAACAUUUCUAGCUUGCUAGAAGAUGACGAGUGGCGGACGGGUGAGUAAUACUUAGGGAUCUGCCUUUGUGAGGGGGAUAACUAUUGGAAACGAUAGCUAAUACCGCAUGAUGUUUUUUUCUUAUGAAGAGAACCAAAGGGGGCUUUCGGGCUCUCGCGCAAAGAGGAACCUAAGCGAGAUUAGCUAGUUGGUGGGGUAAAGGCUCACCAAGGCGACGAUCUCUAGCUGUUCUGAGAGGAAGAUCAGCCACACUGGGACUGAGACACGGCCCAGACUCCUACGGGAGGCAGCAGUGGGGAAUAUUGCACAAUGGGGGGAGCCCUGAUGCAGCCAUGCCGCGUGUGUGAAGAAGGCCUUCGGGUUGUAAAGCACUUUCAGUGGGGAGGAAAGGAUAUAGGUUAAUACCCUGUAUCUGUGACGUUACCCACAGAAGAAGCACCGGCUAACUCCGUGCCAGCAGCCGCGGUAAUACGGAGGGUGCGAGCGUUAAUCGGAAUUACUGGGCGUAAAGCGCACGCAGGCGGUUUGUUAAGCUAGAUGUGAAAGCCCCGGGCUCAACCUGGGAGGGUCAUUUAGAACUGGCAGACUAGAGUCUUGGAGAGGGGAGUGGAAUUCCAGGUGUAGCGGUGAAAUGCGUAGAGAUCUGGAGGAACAUCAGUGGCGAAGGCGAC
rnacentral:rRNA from 1 species